rnacentral:misc_RNA from 1 species
GUGAAUCAUCGAAUUUUUGAACGCAAAUUGCGCUUCCUGGCAUCCCGGGAAGUAUGCCUGUUUGAGGGUCAGUAUUAAUAAAAAAUCGGUUUAGUUACAAAUUGUGACGUUUCCGGAGUUUGGGCUAUCUUAACAUUUUUGGUUAAGGGGCUUAAAAUCGACCUUUUUUGCGCAUUUUUAGACGUACAUAAAUUUUUUUUUUUAUUCGUCUAUUUUUAAGCCCAAAAUCUUAUAAGUUCGAAUCACU